CAAUAGCGUAUAUUAAAGUUGUUGCGGUUAAAAAGCUCGUAGUUGGAGUUCUGCCAGGUGACGCUCGUCCGCCCAAGUGGUGUGUACAGGGCGUGCAUCUGGCCCUUUCAGGGGAACGUGUCUGCACUUUACUGUGUGGUGCGAGAUCCUUGACUUUUACUUUGAGGAAAUCAGAGUGUUCCAAGCAGGCUCUCGUCGUGUAUAGCUCAGCAUGGAAUAAUAGCAUUGGACUUCGUUUCUAAGCUGUUGGUUGCAAGAAGCGAGGUAAUGAUGAAGAGGGAUAGUUGGGGGCAUUCGUAUUUAACUGUCAGAGGUGAAAUUCUUGGAUUUGUUAAAGACGGACUACUGCGAAANCANNNGCCAUGGAUGUUUUCAUNGA
rnacentral:rRNA from 1 species